rnacentral:rRNA from 1 species
UACGGGGCUUAUGUCUUGUAAUUGGAUGAUGGGAAUUUAAACCUCUUCCAGAGUAACAAUUGGAGGGCAAGUCUGGUGCCAGCAGCCGCGGUAAUUCCAGCUCCAAUAGCGUAUAUUAAAAUUGUUGCAGUUAAAAAGCUCGUAGUUGAAUUUCUGCUGCAUUGCAUUUUCUCCUAUACGAGUUUUUGCAUUGUGGCUUAUUUCGGUUAUAAAAUUUAUUUUUAUUUCCGGAUGUUUACUUUGAGAAAAUUAGAGUGCUCAAAGCAGGCUUUUGCCUUGAAUAGUUUAGCAUGGAAUAAUAAAGUAGGACUUUGGUUCUAUUUUGUUGGUUUUAGGUACCAAAGUAAUGGUUAAUAGGAGGAGUUG